rnacentral:sRNA from 1 species
AAGUAUCCUAUGUUCACGGUUUUGGGAUGUAUAAGAGAGAGAGAGAGAGAGAGAGGGGGGGCAUACGCGGAUCUAGAGGGGGUAGGGAGUCUGGUCCUCGGACCCCCCCCCCCCCCCCCGCAGACUCAAAUAUCCGUCCGAACCCCCCCUCCCUCGGAGAAAUUUUCUGGAUCAGUGUAUGAGACGGACGGACAGACAGAGAGACACAAAGAGGAAAGGGUAAUUAGAAAGAGAAAGAGAUAUGCAGAUGAUGUGAGAGAAGGGGAUCGAGAGAAGAGGAUCGAGAGAAGGCAAAAGACAGAAAAUGUAACCGUUCCUGGCUUGAUCUGUAACCUACUGUAUAGUCUCUGGAUACGAUAUAACCUGAUACAGACACACAGAUGAGGAUGUAACCAGCCUUAGAGACAAUGGACAGAACGUUACAUAGACAAUAUAACCUAAUACAGACAACAGAUGAGGAUGUAACUAGCCUUAGAAACAAUGGACAGAACGUUACAUAGACAAUAUAACCUAAUACAGACACACAGAUGAGGAUGUAACCAGCCUUAGAAACAAUGGACAUAACGUUACAUAGACAAUAUAACCUAAUACAGACACACAGAUGAGGAUGUAACCAGCCUUAGAAACAAUGGACAUAACGUUACAUAGACAAUAUAACCUAAUACAGACAACAGAUGAGGAUGUAACCAGCCUUAGAAACAAUGGACAGAACGUUACAUAGACAAUAUAACCUAAUACAGACAACAGAUGAGGAUGUAACCAGCCUUAGAAACAAUAGACAGAACGUUACAUAGACAAUAUAACCUAAUACAGACACACAGAUUAGGAUGUAACCAGCCUUAGAAACAAUGGACAGAACGUUACAUAGCCAAUACUUUGAAUAGAAGUCACAGAGUGUAAUCUACCCUAGUUACCCUGGACAAGAUGUUACCUUCCCUAGUAACCUAAAAAGGGUGCAACCUUUCUAGUUUCCAUGGACAAUAAACUUCCUACUCCCCUAGUUUCCGAGGACAGUAUGUAACCAUCUCUAGAGACAUAGUAGAUAAUGCUAUUUGUUUUACAGACAAUUGUAUGCAACCUUUAAAAGAAACCACAAACAGGAUAUAACGUACCCAAGUUACCCUAAACGAGAUGUUACUGUCCCUAAAUUCUAAACCCAGGAUGUAACCAAAGACAGGUUGUUCCCAGCCUCAGAAACCUUGGAUAGUAUGUGACCUAUCCAAGAAGCCCCGGGCAGAAUUUUAUCUUUCUAAGUUUCUCACUGACAAGUUGUAACCUUUCCUAUUUUUCCUGGACUGUAUUUACCCUAUCCUAGCACCACGUGGCUGUUGUAAACAGAGUGCUAUCUGAUGAAUACAGUCUCUGAUCCAAGGUUCACCCAGGUCUUCAUCUUACAUAACAUUCAGUGUAAACUCAUACAUCACACCUAAUUAGCGCCGUGGACACACACGGAAUGCUGGGAAUUCAAAGAGCGCCAUCCACUCAGUGUAAAACCAUCUAUCCCCACUAGAUACGUAUCAGUUUAUAUUAUCCCUAAAUAUUUGUACAAUGGGCUGGUAUCGUGUGUUUUGAUAUUGCUCUUGUUACAUCUUCUUUGUUCAGGAAUAAAAACCAGAGAAAGU